UCUAAAGAAGGCUUUUCAAUUGCACUGUACCAAUGAACAGUGUUUUGCACCACAUUUCAGUUUAUUUACAAGAUUACCACUCGGAUGCUAUUAACCACCUUUCAUUUAAUUUACAAAAUUGCCACUCAGGCUUAAAAACCUAUUUUCAGCCGUUGGCUGCAUUUCACGUUUGACUCGGCGAGAGAGAGGGGAGGGGAACAUCACGCCUGACAAAUUGGAGAGAGACAAUCGCUCCCAUUUUUGACUCGGAGACAGCUGGGUGUGCCUCUGGCGAGCGGAGAUAGGGGGAUAGAGCGACUACAGAGGAGGGAGACACAGAGCCUGACAGAUUGGAGAGAGAUGGGAGCUACGGGUUUGGACUGAGUGAGAGAGAUAUUUAGGUAGGUGCUCUGCCAAGCUCUCUCUGCCGCUAAUCUUGAUGCAAACGUGUUGAUAAUCAUGGGAAGGGUAGAACGAUGGUAAAGCUGGCCUUUUCCAUUUCCUUCUCAAACCCUCAUUGCCUCUUCCGUCUCGCAGACCCUGCGAGAACGACGGUAUCGCAGACCCUGUGAGAACGACGGUCUCGCCUCCAUCCUAUCCUCCAGUCGCCGCCGUCUCCCUUCUCUAGGUAGGGUGUUGUGCGUGUGCGGACACCAUCAGUUGCUGGAUUCAUUAACCCCGGUUCUGAGGGAUUUCAAAAGCUAUUUUUCCGUCGAGGAAAUCGCCAUACCGGUGCACUCAAACAUUGAAGCAUCAUACGCCGCACAUCCUAUUGCUGAUGUCUUUAUCAACUUUGCUUCAUACAGAAGUGCUGCUGCUUCUUCGAUUGACGAUUUCGAUGUCGGCUUCGUGAGAUCUCUUCGAUCUUUGCUCCCAAUUUCUGUAAAUUUGGGGUUUCUUGGGGUUCAUGGAUUGUUAAGCAGAGUGUGGGGAAAGAAAGGGUGCCUCACUGGUUAGGCACUUGAAAUCAAUUAUUUCCAUCGGAAGAACUACUUGGAGUACGUUUGGGAGCAAGCUGAAAUUGAUACCAUUGAGCACAGGACAAGAAUAAGCCUCCAUUUCCAUCUCCUAAAAGCAGCAUAAGAAAAUUAAACAAGCAUUUUCAUACAGCUGGAGGCUAUUUAGUUGUAUGGGCUUUUGCGGGUUUGGGCUGUGACUGGGUUGGUGGGUUUUGUUUGUGGUUGGGUUUUUCGGAUGGAUGGCGACACGGGCAGGCCUAGCCUGCAACGAUGCCAGCGAGAAGAGAUGGGAGGUGUCGUGUGAUGCAAGAGAGAAGAGAGAGAGGAGGAGUCGUCCGAUGGUAGAGAAGAGAGAGGGGUCGUGCGAUGCCAGAGAGAAGAGAGAGCAGGACUCUUGGAAGGAAAAAUUGGAAGAGAGAGGGAGGGGUAGGAUGAGCAAUGCAAUAGGUAGGGCUGCCCGGAAUUUGGGUUUUGUUUUUUCUCGAUGAGGUAUGCUUAGAGAAGCGGUGAGGCAUGAAGGGACGCCUAAACCGAGGGUUGGUUUCAGAGAUUUGGUUCCAGCUGGAAGCUAUCUCUGCAAGCAUUGAUGAGGAUUUCUCCCAGCUGGCAGCUUCAAUUCCUUUCAAAGCUAGGUGAACUUGGAUCAUUGGACAGAGAACUUGGCCCUUUGGCUUUUGAGAAGAAGCAUGAGUACCUCAACCAGAACAGAGAACAGACAAGAAUGCAAAGCUAAUACACACAACACAUACUAAACUAAGAAGUUAUCAUGCGUCAAGAGGGAAGAAGCGAACGAAUCACUCUGUCUGUAAGAUGGGUUUCUGUAAUGCGAAUUUCAUGAGGUUCAUAACACUGAUUUGAUUCUCUCAUAAGAAAGGAUCUCCUCUCUGGCUUUCUGGGCCAAGUUGUCGAAGCUCUCUCUAGAGAGAAAGUGGCAGCAGUAGUGGGGAAGGAAGAAGGACCAUUCAUGUUUCUGUUAUCAUUUCUGCCAUUCGAAGCUCUGGGGUUUGGGUUUGGCUCUGUUAGUUGUUGAGUUUGUCACGAAAUGAGUUCAACUAUGGAUUCGUAUACAUUGAAGUCCACAUCAGAUUUGUCUGCUCUCUGACCUGAUUGAGUGAGGGAGGAGGGAUAGAGCGCAGAGAGAAUAUGACGGAAAUUGAGGAGGAAGCCCAUGCUUGCAGAGAGUUAGUGAGAUCUGAAGCCCAUGCCUGGAUGAACUCAUUUAAUUUGAGCACACAGAGCUCAAAUCUGGUGUUCAAAAAUAAGGCGGAGGCCACGAAGUUCUCAAAUCCAAGAUGAAAAGGCAGUGCAGUUUGGCAUAUCAAAUCAACCUGCAGCAUUCUUGGGACUCUAAUUCUUAGGAAAUGCUCUGUUUGAAUUGAUAAUUUGACACAAAAUGGCCAUAAAGACAAUUGGUCUUAUUAAUGGUUGUCUUCCAGAGGAAUUAAAGAAGUUCUUGGUAUAAGGAGCUAUAGCUCCAUUGAAAGAGUGAGAGGCAUACGACAAUAUUUCUUCAGUCUGGAAUUCAGACAGGAUGCGGAUACUUCUGACUUUAUCAAGUUAGAGAAGCAUUCCACAGAAGAAGGCGGGGUUACACCUUCAGUUUAUUCGUGCAAAGAACCAGUAUGUCGAAAAAUAUAUGUUACUCGAUUCUUAAAAACUUUAUGGCAUGACAAAAUAAAUUCACAAAUUGCUAAUUUUUCUGUUUCGUAUAAAAUCUUUGUUCACUCUACCUGAACAGGUACACAUGUUAAGUUUUCUUUCAUCUUAUCUUUGGCACAGAAAGCACCAUCAAAAUUUAAACUUUUUUUUUUUUUCAUUCGGCUGUUGAGGAAGGGAUUGUUGUUGGUGGAUGAAACCUUUAGGUAAUUAUCUGUUGCUUAUUGAACUCCCCCAAUCAUGAGUUUUGACUCGAAAGAAGAUUUUGAUGAUGACAGAUACUAAAUUAAAUUUUGGCUCAAAUUGUAUUGAAAAUUGCAGUUCGGAGCAAUUUUUAUGAGGAAGAAGGAUGAAUCCUAAACAUAUGUAUGAAUUUAGUCAAUUUCUACACGCUCCAUUCAGUAGAUGAAUUGUAAACAUAUGAAUUUCAAGCACCUGAAUUGAAUGGAUGCUUUUAAUUCUUCUCUCAUCUAAACCUUAGAUUUUUUUGCAAUUUUAUUUCUUUGUUGUUUAUAUCAUUGUUGUUUGAAUAUAUGGUUAAACUUAUUUCAUUAAUUGUUGAUGCCGCGUGUUAAUAAUCAUGGAAAGGUAGGGGUGCGAUGGUCGUUUUAGUCUGUAGGGUUUCGAACGGAUUGGGUGGGUUAGGAAGACUUUCAUUUCCUUUCUUUCUAUGAACUGCAGAGGGACUUGGUGAGAGCAUGCCGUCUGGAGAGAGAGCGGGAGGGAUAGAGAUAGGGAUAGGGAUUUGGUGAGGGGAAGGCAUGCGGCUUGCAGAGAGGAGAAAGGGGGAGGAAGGUAGAGAGAGCGAUAUGGAUUUGGUGAGGGGAAGGCAUACGGCUUGCAGGUAGACAAAGUCAUAGGGGUGUACGAUUCAAGAGAGAGAGAGAGGAGAUUGAGUGGUUGCAUCACUCUCACUACCUGCACUCCUCAGGCAGGAAGGCCUGAGAUUGAGGACAAAGGCCAUGGUUGCACAGAAUGACUGAGAUUUGAAGCCCAUGACAGCCUCAGCUGAUUGAAAAGUGAUUGAAGCCUUUUGUUGCUGGGAGAUUGUUUAGAGAGAAUGGGAGAGCAAAAUUCGAAAGAGAAUGUCGAAAUCAGCUAGGAUCGAAGAUAAAGAUGGAGAUUUUGACGGGUCGGCUGCUCAGACUGACAUGUAAAUCAGAGCCGGUGAGAACGACGGCGGAGAAGCUCAAGUCGACCCAGAGUUGGGUUUCUGAAAAAUGAGAAAGGUUUCUGUAACAUGCUCUUCUUCUUCCUCUUCAUCUUCUGGAAGAAUUGGAGAAAAUGAUGAGGGAGAAGAUCAAGAUCAGGAAGAUCGACUACUUGCCGGCAAGGCAGGUUACGUACGUUGUAGCCUUUGGGUGCCACUGUCAUGACACAGAGAACAAGCGUUUAAAAUAUGAAAUUACGAACCUGACAUGGCAGAAUCUGUUUCAGCAGCAUUUAACGAGUGGCAUAACUCAAGCCUAACAGCAGACGUGCCAUUCUUCUUGGUUCAUAUUGAUUCAAAUUCACAUGCUACUAUUAAGCAUCUAAAGGAUUGGGAAACCUCCCAAAGAGCUGAUCAUGUUCACAAGAGAACCAGUGAGCCAACCAAAGACGUUAAGGCUGUUCUCAUUGAUAGCAAUUGGGACAUUGAGGCGACUCAGAAGGAAUUAAGGAGGAGAUGGAAGGUUUUGGCGUUGAAAAAGUCAUCUUGGAUGGCUGCCGAGGGCUUGCUGGCUCGGGCUUAGCAUGAGAACACAUCUUUCAAUACUUGUGGUAUCUGGUUUGCAAGAAAUUGAGGAUAGGAUAAGAGAACUGGAAGUGAGCCUGGUGCGAGAGGGUCUUAUCUCAAAGACUCAGAGAAGGCUGAGAAGUAUAAGAAGCACAAGGAAAUCCCUGAGGUUUAUACUGUUGAGAGGCUGGCUAAGGAUUAUAGGAUUAUGAGGCAGAGAGUGCAUGCUAUUCUUUGGCUUAAAGAGCUUGAGGAGGAAGAGGGGAAAAAGCUUGGUCAUCCUUUAGAUGAUUCUGUUGAGCUCCUGCUUGACACCUGCUCAGACACUGCUUUGAUGAUCUAUA
rnacentral:sRNA from 1 species